CAACGAGCGCAACCCUCAUUGUUAGUUACUACCAUUCAGUUGAGGACUCUAAUGAGACUGCCAACGACAGUUGGAGGAAGGUGGGAUGACGUCAAAUCAUCAUGCCCUUUAUGACCUGGGCUACAAACGUACUACAAUGGCCAAUACAAAGAGAUGCGAAGCGGUGACGUGGAGCGGACCUCAGAAAGUUGGUCUCAGUUCAGAUUGAAGUCUGCAACUCGACUUCAUGAAGGCGGAAUCGCUAGUAAUCGCGAGUCAGCAGAUCGCGGUGAAUACGUUCCCGGGCCUU
rnacentral:rRNA from 1 species